AAAAAGACAAACCCUGGGUUUCCGUGUCCAACGUUUGACCGUUCGUCUUAUUUAAAAAAAUUAUGAAAAAAGUUAAAAAGACAAGUCACGUAUAAAGUAUUAAUUAUGUUUAUCAUCUAACAACAAUAAAAAUAGAAAUUAUAAAAAAAAUUCUUAUAAUACGGACAGUCAAACGUUGGACACGGAAACCCAGGGUUUGUCUUUUU
rnacentral:pre_miRNA from 1 species